rnacentral:rRNA from 1 species
UUGGCGGUGCGCCUUAUGCAUGCAAGUCGAACGGGGUUGCAGUUUUCGGAUUGCAACCUAGUGGCGAACGGCUGAGUAACACGUAAGCAACCUACCUUGGAGUGGGAAAUAACCUGUCGAAAGAUAGGCUAAUGUCCCAUGUGGUAACGAAGCAUAAGCUUGGUUACUAAAGCCUUCGGGCGCUCCUUGAGGGGCUUGCGGCUGAUUAGCUUGUUGGUAGGGUAACGGCCUACCAAGGCAAUGAUCGGUAGCUGGUCUGAGAGGAUGGUCAGCCAGAUGGGGACUGAGACACGGCCCCAACUCCUACGGGAGGCAGCAGCAAGGAAUAUUGGGCAAUGGGCGAGAGCCUGACCCAGCCAUGCCGCGUGCAGGAUGACGGCCCUACGGGUUGUAAACUGCUUUUCUAUGGGAAUAACUUCAUGUACGUGUACGUGAUUGCAGGUACCAUAGGAAUAAGCAUCGGCUAACUCCGUGCCAGCAGCCGCGGUAAUACGGAGGAUGCAAGCGUUAUCCGGAUUUAUUGGGUUUAAAGGGUGCGUAGGCGGACAUUUAAGUCAGAGGUGAAAUCCCCGGGCUCAACCUGGGACUUGCCUAUGAAACUAGAUGUCUUGAGUGCAAACGAGGUAGGCGGNAAUGUGGAGUGUAGCGGUGAAAUGCAUAGAUAUUCCACAGAACACCAAUAGCGAAGGCAGCUUACCAGAUUGCAACUGACGCUGAUGCACGAAAGCCGGGGGAGCAAACAGGAUUAGAUACCCUGGUAGUCCCGGCUGUAAACGUUGUACACUUGG